GAUGAACGCUGGCGGCGUGCCUAAUACAUGCAAGUCGAGCGAACGGACGAGAAGCUUGCUUCUCUGAUGUUAGCGGCGGACGGGUGAGUAACACGUGGAUAACCUACCUAUAAGACUGGGAUAACUUCGGGAAACCGGAGCUAAUACCGGAUGAUAUUUUGAGCCGCAUGGUUCAAAAGUGAAAGACGGUCUUGCUGUCACUUAUAGAUGGAUCCGCGCUGCAUUAGCUAGUUGGUAAGGUAAUGGCUUACCAAGGCAACGAUGCAUAGCCGACCUGAGAGGGUGAUCGGCCACACUGGAACUGAGACACGGUCCAGACUCCUACGGGAGGCAGCAGUAGGGAAUCUUCCGCAAUGGGCGAAAGCCUGACGGAGCAACGCCGCGUGAGUGAUGAAGGUCUUCGGAUCGUAAAACUCUGUUAUUAGGGAAGAACAUAUGUGUAAGUAACUGUGCACAUCUUGACGGUACCUAAUCAGAAAGCCACGGCUAACUACGUG
rnacentral:rRNA from 1 species